rnacentral:rRNA from 1 species
UACAGAGGUCUCAAGCGUUGUUCGGAUUCAUUGGGCGUAAAGGGUGCGUAGGCGGCGCGGUAAGUCGGGUGUGAAAUCUCGGGGCUUAACUCCGAAACUGCAUUCGAUACUGCCGUGCUUGAGGACUGGAGAGGAGACUGGAAUUUACGGUGUAGCGGUGAAAUGCGUAGAUAUCAGGAGGAACACCUGCGGUGUAGACGGCUUACUGGACCAUAACUGACGCUGAGGCACGAAAGCGUGGGUAGCAAACAGG